AGAAAAAGAAGAAAAAAAAAAGGAAAAGUCGAGAGGGGCAAAUAGGUAAAUUUGCCCCUCCAACCACCUAAGGGGUCCAAACGAAACCCCAUCCAUAGUCCUGCAAAAGAGAGAUAGUGAGAGAAAGGGGUAGAGAGAACUUAGAGAGAGGAGAAAGGAUGAACCGCCGAAAGACUCACCGAAAACUACCGUUGGAGUCUAUUCCGGUGAAGAUCAUGAUGCAAGGAAGUGAAGAUCAUGCAGAGAGACUUUCUUAGAAGGGAAAAGAGAAUGUGGGUGGCCGGAGUCCCAUUUUUCAUCAAGAAGUCGGAAAACCCGCAAGGAACAACUCUACGCGUGAUCUGUGAAGAAGUUUGGCCGAGACCUCAACCCGAAGGCGGAGAUCCGAGAGUCGUCCGAGAAUGGGACCUAAUAU